GGCUGGUCCAAUAGUAGUGGGUUAUCAGAACUUAUUAACAUUAGUGUCACUAAAGUUGGUGUACAGCCCCGUCGCCCCCGCCCCACCGCCAGCUAAAUUUGACUGGCUUAAA
rnacentral:sRNA from 10 species